UGUCUGAUGGUGUAAUUGGCAACACGUCUGGUUUUGGUCCAGAAGAGUUCAGGUUCGAGACCUGAUCAGACAA
rfam:Bacteroidetes bacterium RIFCSPLOWO2_12_FTLL_35_15 rifcsplowo2_12_scaffold_239, whole genome shotgun sequence.